GGGGCCGAUCAGGAUUCGACGACGGUUACAAAGCUUGAGGGGCAUGCCGAGUUGGUAACAGAACUCGUAAAUCCACUGUUGCAAACUAAUAGUUGCCAACGACGACAA
rnacentral:tmRNA from 2 species